UUGGUAUUUAAACUUUAGGCAUCCAAUAUAAGCCUAUUAGAAACUAAUUUCACAGGAAAAAUUUGGUUCUGAAAUUAUGGUUGUCCAAACACAUCAUUCAGUUGAAGGCUUAAAGCUUAAUUAAUGCAUCCAACUUUGAUACCACAUCAGCAAAAUCCAUGGUUAAGUAUGGCUAAAUUGCAUCCUUAAACAUGAUUAGGUAUAUAGAUAAAUUUGUAACCCAAGUCUACCCAAUAAUUUCUUCUAUUGGUAAAGGGGUAAAAAACAGCAGCAAUAAGUCACCAUUUAGCAUAUUAAGGAACUAAAAUGUACGUCAAAUUUGUUCUUCUCCACCCUUCAUCAAGCCAUGGAGUAAUAUCAUCUCCAUCUUUGAAUGGAUUCCUCAGAAAUUUUUUUUGAGGUACGUUUUCCUCAGAAGUUCAGCUCGGUUGAAAGACCCUUCAAUUUAAAGUAAAAUUUAUCAAUAAUAUAUAUUAUUAAUUUAUCACAUAACAAAUCUCCUUUUAGUUUCUAUACAAAGAUAGAAAUCCAAUCGUAAUCCUGCUUGGAAACAUAAAAUUAAGUGUAUGUCAUAACAAGCGACACAAAGCUAAAGCACAUGUAAUCACAGUAUAGAGAAAACAACAUACAGAAAAAUUACGUGUUUUGACUAUGAUAAAUAAAACAGUAAAGAACAGUUACAAUUCUCAAAAAUCAAUACUAAGUGGAUUGUAAUUUCAGUAAAAUAUUGUCGUAUCCGUGAUUACAAGCAAACUUUAAACUUCAGGAACAUUAAAAAACAAAAAAGAAGACAACAAAGAAAUUAAGCAUUUAAGGAGUACCUUCUUUUUCAUAGUCGAAUUCAUCAAGCUUUGUUUUGUGGGCAGAGCAACGAAAGGUGAUAAUCGAUUUUAAAGAAAAGGAACAAAUUUAUCGGCCUAUCAAACUGAAUGGCAAUAAAUUU
rnacentral:misc_RNA from 1 species